rnacentral:rRNA from 1 species
GACGAACGCUGGCGGCGUGCCUAAUACAUGCAAGUAGAACGCUGAAGGAGGAGCUUGCUUCUCUGGAUGAGUUGCGAACGGGUGAGUAACGCGUAGGUAACCUGCCUGGUAGCGGGGGAUAACUAUUGGAAACGAUAGCUAAUACCGCAUAAGAGUAGAUGUCGCAUGACAUUUGCUUAAAAGGUGCAAUUGCAUCACUACCAGAUGGACCUGCGUUGUAUUAGCUAGUUGGUGAGGUAACGGCUCACCAAGGCAACGAUACAUAGCCGACCUGAGAGGGUGAUCGGCCACACUGGGACUGAGACACGGCCCAGACUCCUACGGGAGGCAGCAGUAGGGAAUCUUCGGCAAUGGACGGAAAUCUGACCGAGCAACGCCGCGUGAGUGAAGAAGGUUUUCGGAUCGUAAAGCUCUGUUGUAAGAGAAGAACGAGUGUGAGAGUGGAAAGUUCACACUGUAACGGUAUCUUACCAGAAAGGGACGGCUAACUACGUG